rnacentral:lncRNA from 1 species
UUUUUUUUUUUUUUAAUGUGGACACGACCUUGAAGCUUGGCUGUGCAAUUGAUGGUUUAAUCUUUUGAUACCGUUAGACGUCCCAUGUUUUGGCAUACUUCUAAUUACAAUAAUGAUAACACUUACCUCUUGUACCUAGCUACCCAUUCCAAAUUAACCAGUCCUUAAUUACAUUUCCCUUUACAAUUAAUCUGCAAGCUCAUCAAAUCAGGAAAUCAUUAAUGUCAGUAAUAUCCUUGUAAUUAACUGCGUUAACUUGUCAUCUAAAUAAAAGAAAAAUAAUCAUUUUGGAAAACCGACCCAGCAUAUAACAAGACCAUUUGCAUAACAAAGUACCAUGAAAUUUCUCAAGCUGGGGGUACUUCAUCAUAUCUUUCGUAGAAACAAUGAAAUUAUAUUAAAGCAAAAACAAGGUAAGUGAGUUACUAUAAAGUUUCGUAUGUAAUUAUUUAUAUAUAUAUUAAAUGUGAAUAUGAAACAUUCCAAUUCGUUGAACACAUGGUGGCACGCAUACGCAAGGACUUUUUAAAGACCUAGUCAAUUUCCCAGUCAUUUCCUUAAACAACUUUCAUAUCAUGUGUCGAUCAAUGAAUCAAUUCCCUGUUAUUUUUUUUUUUUCUAUAAAUACCCACAUAAUGCACAAAGAACCAUAAAUUAAAAUACUACGUAUACAAGAGAGAGCUAGAGCUGCAGCUAGCAGCAAAUUAAAUAUAGAAAGUUGGGGCACUUAUAUCGCAGGGGAGAUGGGACCAACUGCAGCCGCUAGGUAGCAGCCGGUGCCAUCCUCCUGCGAUAUGAGAACCCUCCAACUUACUCUUGUCCAAAUUAAAAUUACUCUCAUUAUUAUUUAUUCUCUUGCGUGUUUAUUAAUUACUUGUUGGGAGCACUUUUGAGUUUUGUUGCAGGAGAGACGGCACCAGCUGCUUUGCAAGUACAUACCGCGCUGCAGAAGCAGCUGGUGCCAUUUCUUCUGCAACUUAAAUUCGAAUAUCCUUAAUUUGCUCUCUCGCUAUUAUUCUAGCUCCGCCUGUAAACUCUCCAUAAGAUAUGUAUGUAUGUGUACAUAUAUAAUUACUCUGUAAUCAGUUCAUCUUGUUCAUCUUUUGUUUCCUUACUUUCUUUAAAAGUUCCGGCUUUCUCGUUCGGAUAUCUACGCAUAUUUUCUUUUCUUUUCUUUUUUCUUUUAAUAAAAACUUAUUUAAUUUCUCAUUUUCCUACUACACCAACUCUUAUUUGCUAGCUAGAUUAAUUUCCAUAUAGAUUAAAGGUUGCUUAAGGAAAUUAAAACAUAGCACUAAGGUACGCUUAGUUUUUCGAUAACCAGCUGAUUUUAACUGUUAAUAAUGGUGUUUAAGAAACGCUCAUCAAUAAUUCUUCCGAAAGUAAUACUUCAAUUCCAAAACUACUGUGCGGUUUAUUUCAAAUUAAUUACAGUACCGCAGUACCUUGAGUUUGAUUAUCUUGGCAUCUUGCUGCUGUUAUUUAAUGUAUAUAUAUUGAUUCUCUUACUUGAUAUAUAUUGAUUUCCUUACCAAAUUUUCCCCAAAUUUUCAGUAGAUUAAUUGAUACUAUCUGAGAAUGUUAUAAUGAAACUACUUGCAUGUCUGAUGAACAGACAUUGAUGCAUGUAGCAAAAACUUUGGCAUACAAAAAAGAGAGAAAACUUAAAAAAGACAUGUAAUAUAUACAUCUAUUUGAGAAGAAGAAGAAAAAGAUAAUACCAACCUUUCAUUUCUCUGCUAAUUUUAAUAAAUUAAUUUCUUUCUUUCCUUCUUUCUUUUUCUCCUUUUUGGUUUUUUGUUUUGAACCACAUUGAAAUUUCGUUUAAACAAACAAAUUAAGGUAAAAUAACAUAGUUAGAAUAUAAAUCAAGAUUGAUUUACAAACAAUCGCCUAUUGGCCAAACUAUUAUAUUAAUUGUACUUUUACACCGAAGAUACCAGGUAAGGAAGCUGAUGUAGUUGAGAAAAUGAUGAUUGCAUACCAGAUCUGAGCUUCAAAAUAGACGCCUCCUUCUUUAUCAGAUUUGGUUCUUCUAACUAGUAUCAUGAUGGAUUUCACAGAGAUCAAUUGUUAUUGAAUGAAUCUUCUAGAUCUGUGCCUGAAGAAAAACAAAAACAAAAACAAAAUUAUGGGAACUGAUAUUCAGGAAAACCCUAACCCUAACGAUUUUUUUAAAAAAAGAGCAUGACAUCCCCAAUGUUUUUGGAGGCAUAAACUUAUGAGCUUUUUUUAACAUAAUUUUACUUGUUUUAUCCAAAUGAAAAAUUAAAGCAGAUGAGUGACAGAAUUAAAGAGAAAGAGAUGAAGAAAGUUGAUAAUUAACAAAACCUAAUUUCGUGUACUUAAAUGUCACUGUGCUGCAGCAACUCAAACCAAAAUCAGUAGACUGACGACAUUUGAUAUAUAUAUAUAGAGGAUGAAGGGAGUCUUGUCACCGGGAGAUGGCGCUUACGGCGUUAUUUAUGCACAACUUAGUUAAUGCAAUUAAGAGGUAGUAGGUGCUAUCUCUCCGGCGACAAGAAUCCCUGUAGCCCCCCUCUCUCUCCUGCUCCCUUGCCGCAAGCUAUGACUGCCUUUGUGUAUGAAAAUUGACCGAUUUAUAGAGAGAGCAUUGUGUUUGCCUUUGCAAAGUGCAUACGUGUACGUGCAUGCGUCAUAUGCUGUAAGCAUUGAUGAAUGAUCCAUUGAUAAUAAUCUAGUGGAGUAUAACAACUAUAAUUUUUUGUCGUUAAUUUAUUAUUUUUCUUAGAUAUUUACUUUUUGAUAUUUAUUUAUUUUCUUUGAAAAUAUGAAUCUUUUCUGAAUAGAACAAUUUGACUUCUUUCUUUAUGCAAAGUCCAAAUCAUCAACUAGGUUAUAAAAUUUGGUGUGAUAAUAAAAUAAGUAAUUUUUUUAAUUAAAAAAAUUAAUGAAUAAUUCAAAUUCCUCUCCUCCAACGUGAGAGGAGUUCAAAUCUCAAAUUUGUUAUUCGACCCUAAAAGAUUUUACAUUGUUAUAAUAACUAGCCUAGCACCAGCAAUAAAAUUUUCAUGAUGCGUGAAAAUAGGUGAUUUGAUCUCCAUAUUUACGGAGAUGUUUCUACCUCAGAUCAAAUUAAAGUCGAAUAGUUGUGCUCAUAAUGCAUAUAUUUUCAAUAUUCUAAGCUUGAAGCGUGUGCAUGAACAGAAUUAGGCUUUGUAUGCUCUACCUUUCAUCUCAAAAAAGGUAAAUAAAUGGUGCAAGACAGAUCAUGAAAUGCUUGGAAAAGACGAUGAAGAUUUAACAAUUAUUGACCACAAAAUACCUUUUUUUGACCUUUUGCUAAAGCAGAAAUAAUUUCUAACCAUAUUAAAUUAUAUAUUAUUCAACCUUUUAAAAUUAAUGGUCUGUAAAGAAGCAUUAAUACGUCAACUUUUCAUGGGUACCAUUUAACCCUGCUAAUUACGCUCAUUGCGGUAGGCAAAAGUUCGACAUUCUCGAUUUUGUACAACAUAACUCAGUUGAAUCAAAGAUUAUUGGAUUACAUGGUAUAAUGGGGGAGUCAAACAAAUUGAAAAUGUUCUUAGAUCAAUUAGUUGAUUAAUGAAAUGGCCACUCACCCUAAUGGGGUAGGCGAGCUAAUAUUCAGAUUCUUGCAAAUAUGUAUUCCCGUUUACAGAUCUUUCUUCAGGGAUAAAAUCCACAGAAUCUUUAAAGCCUUAUGCUCCGUCUUGUAUUCGAUCUGGUGCUGUGAUUAAUCCAUAAGAUUGCUAUUGACAAAAAAAAAAAAAUCACUACUCUAAUUGACAGAAAAAAUUAAGUUGAGAUCUAAUUAAAUCUAAUAUAUAUAAAACUGAUAGAAUAGAUAUCUAAAAAGAAAUUCAACACGACAUAUAAAAAUAAAUUAAAAGAAAAAUUGGGGAAUGGAAAACCAACACAAACAAAUUAAGUCUCUCACUCUGACCUUAUAACCUCAAUGAUUAUUAAAAACGAAGUUCAACCCACAUAGGUGGAUUAAGAAUAUGGCAGGGAUUUCUUUUAAAGAAGCACUCAAUAUUUCCAUCUUCCAUGUUAUAGAUUCCCAUAUCUAUACCUCCACCUCCUGUCUGAAUCUUGAUAUUCAUGCUCAAAUAAGACUGAAGAAUGUAAUCUACAGUUAAUGAACAGUUUUCCUGGCUGAGAUCGGGGGAAAUUUUAAUAAGCCAUCCCCGGGAAGAAAAAUUACCUUGCAUGGUUUGCUGAUUCUGGUAAAGCUACAAGGCUACUUCUGCCCUUUGAAAGACUGAAGAAUGUAAUCCCUACAUUAUCAUUAUGAUGGUCUUCUGCUAAUGAUACUUCCCGAGGAAACAUAAGCCAAGCAAUCUGCUGACAAGAUUUGUACUUGAUGUUGAAAUUGUCCUGCGGAUUCGCUGCCUAGCUUCGAUCUCCAUGAGGUGCAAGCACCAGCAAAAGAUUCAAAAUCCUCCCACAGCUGUAUCCUACUUGCAAUUUCAAACACAAGGCUGCAAUCAAGUUCUGCUCAAUUGCGAGCUUCGGCCACCUGCGAUGUCAUGUGGCUAUUACCUAGCUACGGAUUAAUUUCCAAGCUUUUAUACUGUAGUUUUAUAUAUUAAUAGCCCUCUUUUGAUUUACAGACAGAACACAACUGAUCUGAUCUCAAAAUUAAUUAAGUGGAUUAACUAGGAGAUUUCCCGGUUGCAUGCGGAUUUCAAGUUGGAGUUGGAUUUGGAUUCGGAUUCGGAUUCGGAGUCACUCUUCUUUCUUUGUUCACGUUUCUGCAAUAGGCCUAGAAUAUAUAUCUUUUCUUCUCAAAAUGCUAUCUACACAGUAUAACCUUGAUAGACUUGGUUUUUUUAAGCAGGCCAAAACCACACUUAUAUAUAUUAACAUACAUUUCACGAUAUUAAUAUUUCAAGUAUAAUCUAAUAGCCAAAGAACAGUUGAGUUCCAAAAAUAAAUAGGUCCCAAACAAACCAAAGACAGUUCUAAAUGCCAGCUGCUUUAACUUAUCAACUUUAGAGCCAUCACCAUCUGUUUGGAGGUCCAAUCAAAAGGC